GACGAACGCUGGCGGCGUGCUUAAUACAUGCAAGUCGAACGGAAAGGCCCUGCUUUUGUGGGGUGCUCGAGUGGCGAACGGGUGAGUAACACGUGAGUAACCUGCCCUUGACUUUGGGAUAACUUCAGGAAACUAGGGCUAAUACCGGAUAGGAACUCCUGCUGCAUGGUGGGGGUUGGAAAGUUUCGGCGGUUGGGGAUGGACUGGCGGCUUAUCAGCUUGUUGGUGGGGUAGUGGAUUACCAAGGCGUUGACGGGUAGCCGGCCUGUGAGGGUGAGCGGCCACAUUGGCACUGAGGUACGGCCCAGACUGCUACGGUACGCAACAGUGGGGAAUCUUGCAGAAUGGGCGGAGGGCUGAUGAAGCAACGCCGCGUGCGGGAUGACGGCCUUGUGGUUGUAAACCGCUUUCGCCUGUGACGAAGCGUGAGUGACGGUAAUGGAUAAAGAAGCACCGGCUAACUACGUG
rnacentral:rRNA from 1 species